rnacentral:rRNA from 1 species
CUGCCAGACUCCUACGGGAGGCAGCAGUGAGGAAUAUUGGUCAAUGGCCGGGAGGCUGAACCAGCCAAGUCGCGUGAGGGAUGACGGCCCUACGGGUUGUAAACCUCUUUUGCCGGGGAGCAAAGAGCGGGACGCGUCCCGCCUCGAGAGUACCCGGAGAAAAAGCAUCGGCUAACUCCGUGCCAGCAGCCGCGGUAAUACGGAGGAUGCGAGCGUUAUCCGGAUUUAUUGGGUUUAAAGGGAGCGUAGAUGGGUUGUUAAGUCAGUUGUGAAAGUUUGCGGCUCAACCGUAAAAUUGCAAUUGAUACUGGCAGCCUUGAGUACAGUUGAGGUAGGCGGAAUUCGUGGUGUAGCGGUGAAAUGCUUAGAUAUCACGAAGAACUCCGAUUGCGAAGGCAGCCUACUAAACUGCCACUGACAUUGAUGCUCGAAAGUGUGGGUAUCAAACAGGAUUAGAUACCCGGGUA